rnacentral:rRNA from 1 species
GAUGAACGCUGGCGGCGUGCCUAAUACAUGCAAGUCGAGCGAACGGACGAGAAGCUUGCUUCUCUGAUGUUAGCGGCGGACGGGUGAGUAACACGUGGAUAACCUACCUAUAAGACUGGGAUAACUUCGGGAAACCGGAGCUAAUACCGGAUGAUAUUUUGAACCGCAUGGUCCAAAAGUGAAAGACGGUCUUGCUGUCACUUAUAGAUGGAUCCGCGCUGCAUUAGCUAGUUGGUAAGGUAACGGCUUACCAAGGCAACGAUGCAUAGCCGACCUGAGAGGGUGAUCGGCCACACUGGAACUGAGACACGGUCCAGACUCCUACGGGAGGCAGCAGUAGGGAAUCUUCCGCAAUGGGCGAAAGCCUGACGGAGCAACGCCGCGUGAGUGAUGAAGGUCUUCGGAUCGUAAAACUCUGUUAUUAGGGAAGAACAUAUGUGUAAGUAACUGUGCACAUCUUGACGGUACCUAAUCAGAAAGCCACGGCUAACUACGUG